rnacentral:misc_RNA from 1 species
GUGAAUCAUCAAAUUUUUGAACGCAAAUUGCACUCUCUUCGAUGAGUAUGCCUGUUUGAGGGUCAGUAUUAAUAAAAAUCGGAGUGUUGCUUCUUUGUGACGCUCCGGGGUUUGGGUCAUCUUAAUAUCCUUUCGGUUUAAGAGUCUUAAAAUUGAAUUUUUUUGCGAAUUUAUGAUGUACAUACAUUCUUUUUUUUAUUAGUCUGUCUUAAU